AUUGAACGCUGGCGGCAUGCCUUACACAUGCAAGUCGAACGGUAACGCGGGGCAACCUGGCGACGAGUGGCGAACGGGUGAGUAAUGCAUCGGAACGUGCCCAGUAGUGGGGGAUAGCCCGGCGAAAGCCGGAUUAAUACCGCAUACGACCUACGGGUGAGAGCGGGGGACCGUAAGGCCUCGCGCUAUUGGAGCGGCCGAUGUCAGAUUAGGUUGGUGGUGGGGUAAAAGCCUACCAAGCCGACGAUCUGUAGCUGGGCUGAGAGGACGACCAGCCACACUGGGACUGAGACACGGCCAGACUCCUACGGGAGGCAGCAGUGGGGAAGUUUGGACAAUGGGGGCAACCCUGAUCCAGCCAUGCCGCGUGCGGGAAGAAGGCCUUCGGGUUGUAAACCGCUUUUGUCAGGGAAGAAACGCUCUGGGCUAAUACCCCGGGGUAAUGACGGUACCUGAAGAAUAAGCACCGGCUAACUACGUGCCAGCAGCCGCCGUAAUAC
rnacentral:rRNA from 1 species